GUGGGUAUAGCUCAAUUGGUUAGAGUACUGGACUGUGGAUCCAGAUGUUGGGAGUUCGAGUCUCCUUACCCACCCCA
rnacentral:tRNA from 5 species